AUCUCAAAUCAGGUAGGACUACCCGCUGAACUUAAGCAUAUCAAUAAGCGGAGGAAAAGAAACUAACAAGGAUUCCCCUAGUAGCGGCGAGCGAAGCGGGAAGAGCUCAAAUUUAUAAUCUGGCACCUUCGGUGUCCGAGUUGUAAUCUCUAGAAGUGUUUUCCGCGUUGGACCGCACACAAGUCUGUUGGAAUACAGCGGCAUAGUGGUGAAACCCCCGUAUAUGGUGCGGACGCCCAGCGCUUUGUGAUACACUUUCAAUGAGUCGAGUUGUUUGGGAAUGCAGCUCAAAUUGGGUGGUAAAUUCCAUCUAAAGCUAAAUAUUGGCGAGAGACCGAUAGCGAACAAGUACCGUGAGGGAAAGAUGAAAAGCACUUUGGAAAGAGAGUUAACAGUACGUGAAAUUGUUGGAAGGGAAACGCUUGAAGUCAGACUUGCUUGCCGGAGCUUGCUUCGGUUUGCAGGCCAGCAUCAGUUUUCCGGGGUGGAUAAUGACGGUUUGAAGGUAGCAGUCUCGGCUGUGUUAUAGCUUUCCGUUGGAUACGCCCUGGGGGACUGAGGAACGCAGCGUGCUUUUGCGAAAGACUCGUCUUUUUCACGCUUAGGAUGCUGGUGGAAUGGCUUUAAACGACCCGUCUUGAAACACGGACCAAGGAGUCUAACAUGCUCGCGAGUAUUUGGGUGUCAAACCCGGAUGCGCAAUGAAA
rnacentral:rRNA from 1 species